rnacentral:rRNA from 1 species
UACGUAGGGGGCUAGCGUUGUCCGGAAUCAUUGGCGUAAAGCGCGUGUAGGCGGUCCGGUAAGUCCGCUGUGAAAGUCGAGGGCUCAACCCUCGAAUGCCGGUGGAUACUGUCGGGCUUGAGUACGGGAGAGGCGAGUGGAAUUCCUGGUGUAGCGGUGAAAUGCGCAGAUAUCAGGAGGAACACCGGUGGCGAAGGCGGGUCUCUGGGCCGAAACUGACGCUGAGGAGCGAAAGCGUGGGGAGCAAACAGG